rnacentral:rRNA from 1 species
AUUGAACGCUGGCGGCAGGCUUAACACAUGCAAGUCGAGCGGAGUGAUGGUGCUUGCACUAUCACUUAGCGGCGGACGGGUGAGUAAUGCUUAGGAAUCUGCCUAUUAGGGGGGGACAACAUCUCGAAAGGGAUGCUAAUACCGCAUACGUCCUACGGGAGAAAGCAGGGGAUCACUUGUGACCUUGCGCUAAUAGAUGAGCCUAAGUCGGAUUAGCUAGUUGGUGGGGUAAAGGCCUACCAAGGCGACGAUCUGUAGCGGGUCUGAGAGGAUGAUCCGCCACACUGGGACUGAGACACGGCCCAGGCUCCUACGGGAGGCAGCAGUGGGGAAUAUUGGACAAUGGGGGGAACCCUGAUCCAGCCAUGCCGCGUGUGUGAAGAAGGCCUUAUGGUUGUAAAGCACUUUAAGCGAGGAGGAGGCUCUUUUGGUUAAUACCCAAGAUGAGUGGAUGUUACUCGCAGAAUAAGCACCGGCUAACUCUGUGCCAGCAGCCGCGGUAA